GGCCCCGCACAAGCGGCGGAGCAUGCGGAUUAAUUCGAUGCAACGCGAAGAACCUUACCUGGGUUUGAAAUAUGCCGGAAACACCUAGAGAUAGGUGCCCCUUUUUGGUCGGUAUACAGGUGGUGCAUGGCUGUCGUCAGCUCGUGUCGUGAGAUGUUGGGUUAAGUCCCGCAACGAGCGCAACCCUCGUCCUAUGUUGCCAGCGGGUUAUGCCGGGAACUCAUGGGAGACUGCCGGGGUCAACUCGGAGGAAGGUGGGGAUGACGUCAAGUCAUCAUGCCCCUUACGUCCAGGGCUUCACGCAUGCUACAAUGCCGGUACAAAGAGCUGCCAACCCGCAAGGGUGAGCGAAUCUCAAAAAGCCGGUCUCAGUUCGGAUUGGGGUCUGCAACUCGACCCCAUGAAGUCGGAGUCGCUAGUAAUCGCAGAUCAGAAUGCUG
rnacentral:rRNA from 1 species